rnacentral:rRNA from 1 species
GUUAAGCGACUAAGCGUACACGGUGGAUGCCCUGGCAGUCAGAGGCGAUGAAGGACGUGCUAAUCUGCGAAAAGCGCCGGCGAGGUGAUAUGAACCUUUGACCCGGCGAUGUCCGAAUGGGGAAACCCAGUGCAAUUCGUUGCACUAUCGUUAACUGAAUACAUAGGUUAACGAGGCGAACCGGGGGAACUGAAACAUCUAAGUACCCCGAGGAAAAGAAAUCAACCGAGAUUCCCCCAGUAGCGGCGAGCGAACGGGGAGGAGCCCAGAGUCUGAAUCAGUUUGUGUGUUAGUGGAACGGUCUGGAAAGUCCGGCGAUACAGGGUGACAGCCCCGUACACGAAAGCACACAGGCUGUGAACUCGAAGAGUAGGGCGGGACACGUGGUAUCCUGUCUGAAUAUGGGGGACCAUCCUCCAAGGCUAAAUACUCCUGACUGACCGAUAGUGAACCAGUACCGUGAGGGAAAGGCGAAAAGAACCCCGGCGAGGGGAGUGAAAAAGAACCUGAAACCGUGUACGUACAAGCAGUGGGAGCAUCCUUCGGGGUGUGACUGCGUACCUUUUGUAUAAUGGGUCAGCGACUUAUAUUCUGUAGCAAGGUUAACCGAAUAGGGGAGCCGAAGGGAAACCGAGUCUUAACUGGGCGUUAAGUUGCAGGGUAUAGACCCGAAACCCGGUGAUCUAGCCAUGGGCAGGUUGAAGGUUGGGUAACACUAACUGGAGGACCGAACCGACUAAUGUUGAAAAAUUAGCGGAUGACCUGUGGCUGGGGGUGAAAGGCCAAUCAAACCGGGAGAUAGCUGGUUCUCCCCGAAAGCUAUUUAGGUAGCGCCUCGUGAACUCAUCUUCGGGGGUAGAGCACUGUUUCGGCUAGGGGGUCAUCCCGACUUACCAACCCGAUGCAAACUGCGAAUACCGAAGAAUGUUAUCACGGGAGACACACGGCGGGUGCUAACGUCCGUCGUGAAGAGGGAAACAACCCAGACCGCCAGCUAAGGUCCCAAAGUCAUGGUUAAGUGGGAAACGAUGUGGGAAGGCCCAGACAGCCAGGAUGUUGGCUUAGAAGCAGCCAUCAUUUAAAGAAAGCGUAAUAGCUCACUGGUCGAGUCGGCCUGCGCGGAAGAUGUAACGGGGCUAAACCAUGCACCGAAGCUGCGGCAGCGACACUGUGUGUUGUUGGGUAGGGGAGCGUUCUGUAAGCCGUUGAAGGUGUGCUGUGAGGCAUGCUGGAGGUAUCAGAAGUGCGAAUGCUGACAUAAGUAACGAUAAAGCGGGUGAAAAGCCCGCUCGCCGGAAGACCAAGGGUUCCUGUCCAACGUUAAUCGGGGCAGGGUGAGUCGACCCCUAAGGCGAGGCCGAAAGGCGUAGUCGAUGGGAAACAGGUUAAUAUUCCUGUACUUGGUGUUACUGCGAAGGGGGACGGAGAAGGCUAUGUUAGCCGGGCGACGGUUGUCCCGGUUUAAGCAUGUAGGCGGAGGUUCCAGGUAAAUCCGGUACCUUUUAACGCUGAGGUGUGAUGACGAGGCACUACGGUGCUGAAGUAACAAAUGCCCUGCUUCCAGGAAAAGCCUCUAAGCAUCAGGUAACACGAAAUCGUACCCCAAACCGACACAGGUGGUCAGGUAGAGAAUACCAAGGCGCUUGAGAGAACUCGGGUGAAGGAACUAGGCAAAAUGGUGCCGUAACUUCGGGAGAAGGCACGCUGACAUGUAGGUGAAGCCCCUGCGGGUGGAGCUGAAGUCAGUCGAAGAUACCAGCUGGCUGCAACUGUUUAUUAAAAACACAGCACUGUGCAAACACGAAAGUGGACGUAUACGGUGUGACGCCUGCCCGGUGCCGGAAGGUUAAUUGAUGGGGUUAUCCUUAGGGAGAAGCUCUUGAUCGAAGCCCCGGUAAACGGCGGCCGUAACUAUAACGGUCCUAAGGUAGCGAAAUUCCUUGUCGGGUAAGUUCCGACCUGCACGAAUGGCGUAAUGAUGGCCAGGCUGUCUCCACCCGAGACUCAGUGAAAUUGAACUCGCUGUGAAGAUGCAGUGUACCCGCGGCAAGACGGAAAGACCCCGUGAACCUUUACUAUAGCUUGACACUGAACAUUGAGCCUUGAUGUGUAGGAUAGGUGGGAGGCUUUGAAGCGUGGACGCCAGUCUGCGUGGAGCCAACCUUGAAAUACCACCCUUUAAUGUUUGAUGUUCUAACCUGGCGCCGUAAUCCGGCGUGGGGACAGUGUCUGGUGGGUAGUUUGACUGGGGCGGUCUCCUCCUAAAGAGUAACGGAGGAGCACGAAGGUUGGCUAAUCCUGGUCGGACAUCAGGAGGUUAGUGCAAUGGCAUAAGCCAGCUUGACUGCGAGCGUGACGGCGCGAGCAGGUGCGAAAGCAGGUCAUAGUGAUCCGGUGGUUCUGAAUGGAAGGGCCAUCGCUCAACGGAUAAAAGGUACUCCGGGGAUAACAGGCUGAUACCGCCCAAGAGUUCAUAUCGACGGCGGUGUUUGGCACCUCGAUGUCGGCUCAUCACAUCCUGGGGCUGAAGUAGGUCCCAAGGGUAUGGCUGUUCGCCAUUUAAAGUGGUACGCGAGCUGGGUUUAGAACGUCGUGAGACAGUUCGGUCCCUAUCUGCCGUGGGCGCUGGAGAAUUGAGGGGGGCUGCUCCUAGUACGAGAGGACCGGAGUGGACGCAUCACUGGUGUUCGGGUUGUCAUGCCAAUGGCAUUGCCCGGUAGCUACAUGCGGAAGAGAUAAGUGCUGAAAGCAUCUAAGCACGAAACUUGCCCCGAGAUGAGUUCUCCCUGAGACCCAGAGUCUCCUGAAGGAACGUUAAAGACUAUGACGUUGAUAGGCCGGGUGUGUAAGCGCAGCGAUGCGUUGAGCUAACCGGUACUAAUGAACCGUGAGGCUUAACC